rnacentral:lncRNA from 1 species
UGCAUCUCUUGCUCAUAAUGUCAGGGGCUCCCUGCAGCCCUGCAACGAACCACUGGUGCCCCACUGUCAACAGGCACAGAGCCCUGUCCAGAAGGUCCUUCCUGCACUGGAGCUGGCCUGUCGUCUCCAGUUACCCCGUGGUUGGAUUAGCAUCCAGUCUCAGCUCUUCAGCACCAAGGGGAAGAGGUUUCCAUUGUUCCAUCUUGAAGAGCCGUAGCCCGUGUCCCGUGCCUGAUGGGCUGCUCCCUGUGCUGCCCACUGGGCAGAGCUCUGGUGGGGACGCCAAGAGCCAGGCAUCUUUGUUCUGUCCCGUGCCGAGCAUGUCCUGUUCCUUGCUGUGGAAUCCUGCAAUGGCUCCAGGCAGCAGGUGUGACAGGCGGGCCUGCAGCCAGGGACUGCGUGCCUGGAUACGCACCAGCAGUUCCGGGAAGCAGGGAGCUCUCCAGAACCUGGAUCAUCACCUCAUCCACGGAAGGAGAGUCACCCAAAGACACCGCCGGCCGGGUAUCUGCCCCAAUGUCCCCGAUGUGCGUUUGGUGAUGUUCCUGGAGUGCGGGGCGCGAGUCCACCUGAGCUCCUCUGGCCUUGGCCUUUUCCUGUUGAUGGGGAAAGAAAUGCUGGGCUUUGGGCAAAGCUGCCCUCACCCCUGACUCUAGGAGGACUUGUGACUCAGGCCUGGCCACUGAGAGGCAGCGAGAGCACCCACCCCGCGGCUUGGAGACGGUGCAGGAAGGGCCAGAG